rnacentral:rRNA from 1 species
AAGGUGACUGCCGGUGACAAACCGGAGGAAGGUGGGGAUGACGUCAAAUCAUCAUGCCCCUUAUGACCUGGGCUACACACGUGCUACAAUGGACAGAACAAAGGGCAGCGCAACCGCGAGGUUAAGCCAAUCCCACAAAUCUGUUCUCAGUUCGGAUCGCAGUCUGCAACUCGACUGCGUGAAGCUGGAAUCGCUAGUAAUCGCGGAUCAGCAUGCCGCGG